rnacentral:lncRNA from 1 species
CUAACUCUGAUCUAAGCUCCCCCGCAUCCUUGAUGCGACGAUGGCACUGCUUGACCUUAGCUUACUAUUUUGGCGCCAACAUUUGCCCAAUUGAAAAUCUCGAUUUCGAGUACGAUUUUAAUUUUGCUACUCUUUCUAAUUUUUUGUCAAAGUUUUGUUGGUUGUUAUUUGAGGUUCUUGAUUUAGAAUUUGUUUGGAACUCUAUAUUUUAUCUACGUUUUUCUGUAGGGUGUCAUAUUUAUGUAUAUAUUUGUUAUAGAUUGUCUUCUAUGCUGGAUAAUUCAUCCUAUUUGUGAUUUUUUUAUUUAUUGUUUCAUUUUUACAUUUACAAUUUUUAGAAAAAGGAAUUUAAGCUUUUGUGGUUCAAUUGGUGCUUGUGACUUCUUGUUGUCAAUACCCGGCAAACUGUCACUGGUUGCCAUUGCUGACUGUGAUCAGCAUUGCUUUUACUUUUUUAUUUUUAGUUCAUUUUGAUGCCAUUUUAGUUUAGAACUUAGCCUUUUAAUAUGUGUUGAUAUAUCGAUUAAUGAUUUAGUAAGUGAAUUGUGAUGAUUUAUUAUUUAUGAAAAUUUGUGAAUUUGUGAAUUUGUGAUUUGUGAUAAAUAAUAAAUUGGGUAAUUUUU